GGAAAAUGGCCUUCUUGUUCAACUACGUCUUCACUAGCUUUCUGUUUUCCUUCACUGCCUCAGGUUGCUGUCCUAGAAAUUGCUCUGUAGACAAGGCUGACUCCAAACUCAGAGAUCCACCACCCUCUACCUUCUGAAUGCUGGGAUUAAAGAGCCCUCAUCCAGUGGCUAAUGGAAACAGAGUCAGACACCCACAGCUAUACACUGAACUGAACUCUGGAAUCCAGUUGCAGAGAGGGAGGAAUGAAGAUAAAAGCAGUUGGGACCAGGCUGGUGAAUCCCACAGAAACAACUGGCUUGAACAAGGGAGAACACAAGGACCCCAGACUGCUGUCUGGGAGGCCAGCAAGGGACUGUUCCAGACACCUGAACAUGGGUGUUAAUGAGGAGGCCUCAGCACUCUAUGGACCCCCUGGUAGUGGAUCAGUAUUUUUCCCUGGUGUAAGAAGGGACUUUGAGAGCCCAUCCCACGUGAAGGGAUAUUCUAGGCCUGAACCCAUCCUAGGCCCUCUCCAAGAUGAUGUGGUGCACUUUGGGAUCCCCCAUGGAGGGCCCUACCCUCCCUGGGAAUUGGAGCAGGG
rnacentral:lncRNA from 1 species